rnacentral:rRNA from 1 species
AUCAACUUUCGAUGGUAGGAUAGAGGCCUACCAUGGUGGUAACGGGUAACGGGGUGUUAGGGCACGACACCGGAGAGGGAGCCUGAGAAACGGCUACCACAUCCAAGGAUGGCAGCAGGCGCGCAAAUUACCCAAUCCCGACACGGGGAGGUAGUGACAAUAAAUAACAAUACGGGGUUCUUUCGGAUUUCGUAAUUGGAAUGAGUACAAUUUAAAUCUCUUAACGAGGAACAAUUGGAGGGCAAGUCUGGUGCCAGCAGCCGCGGUAAUUCCAGCUCCAAUAGCGUAUAUUAAAGUUGCUGCAGUUAAAAAGCUCGUAGUUGAAUUUCGGGACCAAUAUGUCGGUCGUGCCUCGGUACGUACUGGCAUCGUUGGUUUCUCCCUUCUGACGAACCAUGAUGUCAUUUAUUUGGUGUCGUGGGGAAUCAGGACUGUUACUUUGAAAAAAUUAGAGUGUUUAAAGCAGGCUCACGCUUGAAUACAUUAGCAUGGAAUAAUGAAAUAGGACGUUUGAUUCUAUUUUGUUGGUUUCUAGGAUUGACGUAAUGAUUAAUAGGGAUAGUUGGGGGCAUUAGUAUUCAAUUGUCAGAGGUGAAAUUCUUGGAUUUAUUGAAGACUAACUACUGCGAAAGCAUUUGCCAAGGAUGUUUUCAUUAAUCAAGAACGAAAGUUAGGGGAUCGAAGACGAUCAGAUACCGUCGUAGUCUUAACCAUAAACUAUGCCGACUAGGGAUCGGAUGAUGUUAAUUUUUAAUGACUCAUUCGGCGCCUUACGGGAAACCAAAGUGUUUGGGUUC